rnacentral:rRNA from 1 species
CGGAGAGGGAGCAUGAGAAACGGCUACCACAUCUAAGGAAGGCAGCAGGCGCGUAAAUUACCCAAUCCUGACUCAGGGAGGUAGUGACAAGAAAUAACAACUCGGGGGCGCAAGCCUUACGAGAUUGCAAUGGGUACAAUCCAAAUCACUUAACGAGGAACAAUUGGAGGGCAAGUCUGGUGCCAGCAGCCGCGGUAAUUCCAGCUCCAAUAGCGUAUAUUAAAGUUGUUGCAGUUAAAAAGCUCGUAGUUGAACUUCUGUGGGUCGUCUACGUGGCUUCUGUCGUGCGGACGGCUCACAUCCGCUUGAGAACCUUGCUCGUCCUUCACUGGUCGGCAUGGGGAUCAGGCCUUUUACUGUGAAAAAAUCAGAGUGUUCAAGGCAGGCCAUCGCCCUGAAUACACAAGCAUGGAAUAAUGGAAUAGGACUAUGAUCCAUUUUAUUGGUUAUUGGAUCCUAGUAAUGAUUAAUAGGGACAGUUGGGGGCAUUAGUAUUUAAUUGUCAGAGGUGAAAUUCUUGGAUUUAUUAAAGACUAACUUAUGCGAAAGCAUUUGCCAAGGAUGUUUUCAUUAAUCAAGAACGAAAGUUAGGGGAUCAAAGACGAUCAGAUGCCGUCCUAGUCUUAACUAUAAACUAUACCGACUAGGGAUUGGCCGGGUUUUCGAGCUCGGUCAGCACCUUAUGAGAAAUCAAAGUCUUUGGGUUCUGGGGGGAGUAUCAUGGCAAGACUGAAACUUAAAGGAAUUGACGGAAGGGCCACAACAGGAGUGGAGCGUGCGGUUUAAUUCGACUCAACACGGGGAAACAGAUCAGGUCACAACACAGAUGGGAAGGACAGAAUGAGAGCUCUGUCUUGAUUGUGGGGGUGGCGGGGCAUGUCCGAUCUUAGGGAGUGGAGUGAUUGGUUAGGUUAAUUACGGUAACGAACGAGACCUUAACAUGUUAUCUAGUCACGCGCAGCACAAUCGCGUUGACAUAUUAGAGGGACUAUCAAGUCAAGCGCAUGGAAGUGCGAGACAAUAUCAGGUAUGUGAUGACAUGAGAUGUCCUGGACCCCACGCGCGCUACACCGAUGCGCUCAACAAAUUCUAUCUUGGAUGAGAAGAGUUUAGUGUAAUUAUUAUAAUUCGUGUCGGGGAGGGGAUCGAUCAAUGCAAUAUUAGAUCCGGAGCGAGGAAAUUAUAGUAAACAUAACUCAUCAGCUUGUGUUGAUUACGUCCCUGCCCUCAGUACACACCUCCCGUCGCUCGUUCCGAAUUGGAGCGAUGCGGUGAACGGUCUGGACUGCUCAUCUAGUCAAGGGUGGGAAGGGAAGUUAAUUAAAUCUUAUCGAGGAGAGGAAGGAGAA